AGUGCAGACACAUCAUUACACUGACCACAAGGAAGCAGAUGACUUCAAGACACACUGGUAAGGAAUAACACAACGUGGAGCCAUGCUAUGACUGCUGUUCUCCGUUCUGCGCAAUGCCUCUGAGAUGGUAGCUUCUUGCUGUGGUUCUCCAAAGAAGGACAGGACUACAGCAGGAUGUCUAUACCAGGAUAAAGGUGAUGAGCAGAACGUGUGGACAGUCUCCAGUGAUGGAAAAACAUCCAGUCAAAAUCCUUCCUAAUCCCUCUGGGCAGAGGAGAAGCCCACCGUUGUCCUCCAUUUUAUUUAUUUAUUAAAUGUAUAUACAGUAUUUGCAGCAUGUUGAUCUGUGUUGCUCUGUUCUUGUUUUAAUGAUGACUUGUCCUGAAAACUCCUUGUUGGGAAGUUGGGUAAUGUCUGACAGCAGACAAGUUCAGCAGUGGCUCAAAGGUUAACAUGUACUGUAUGUACACAACAUUUAUAUGGGAGAAAUGCAAUGUGGUCAGCACAGAAAAUACAUCCAGUCACAUAAAUAAAUGGUUGUAAAGAUCAUGUAUCAAUAUAAACAUUAUGUGUUAUUAAAGUGUCCGUACAUUGAUUCUGCAGGAAAAGCACACUUUUCGCUCAAGACUAUUUUUUCCUGGGUAUCUGGCGCUAUCGUGUGGAAGAAAAAGGAUCUGCAACUACCUGUUGCCUGAAGAGAGACAGAAAACUGGUUCAUUUAAUAAUAAGAUGUUAUAUUUGAAUAAUAUUCAAAACAUGUUUUCACUCACUAGCUCAUAAUACGGAACUUACUAAAUCACUAAGUUGGAGUACACAAUAUGGUCCACCAUUUACAACUGCUCAUAAAGUGUAUGAUAAAAAAAACACAUUUAAGAAAAAACGAUGAUAGACAUAUAUUUCAAAAAAUGCUUUCCCUUAUUAUCAAUUAAAUGUUUUAAGCUGGAAGUAAAA